rnacentral:rRNA from 1 species
UACGGAGGGAGCUAGCGUUGUUCGGAAUUACUGGGCGUAAAGCGUACGUAGGCGGCUUUGUAAGUCAGAGGUGAAAGCCCACGACUCAAUCGUGGAACUGCCUUUGAGACUGCUUCGCUUGAAGAUGGGAGAGGUUAGUGGAAUUCCGAGUGUAGAGGUGAAAUUCGUAGAUAUUCGGAAGAACACCAGUGGCGAAGGCGGCUAACUGGACCAUUCUUGACGCUGAGGUACGAAAGCGUGGGGAG